rnacentral:rRNA from 1 species
UCUUAGGCAAAUCCGGGAUCACUUACGCCGAGCACCGAGACGAGUCCUAUGAGGACGAAGUGACUGACACCACGCUUCCAGGAAAAGCCACUAAGCUUCAGCUUAAGAAAAACCGUACCGCAAACCGACACAGGUAGGCAGGGUGAGAAUCCCAAGGCGCUUGAGAGAACUCGGGUGAAGGAACUAGGCAAAAUGGCACCGUAACUUCGGGAGAAGGUGCGCCCUUUGGUGUGGUCACGUGCGUGACUGAGCAUCGAAGGGUCGCAGUAACCUGGCCGCUGCGACUGUUUAUCAAAAACACAGCACUCUGCAAACACGAAAGUGGACGUAUAGGGUGUGACGCCUGCCCGGUGCUGGAAGGUUAAUUGAUGGGGUCAGCCGCAAGGCGAAGCUCUUGAUCGAAGCCCCAGUAAACGGCGGCCGUGACUAUAACGGUCCUAAGGUAGCGAAAUUCCUUGUCGGGUAAGUUCCGACCUGCACGAAUGGCGUAACGACAGCGGCGCUGUCUCCACCCGAGACUCAGUGAAAUUGAAAUCGCUGUGAAGAUGCAGCGUUCCCGCGGCAAGACGGAAAGACCCCGUGAACCUUUACUAUAGCUUUACACUGAACGUUGAGUUCUUCUGUGUAGGAUAGGUGGGAGGCUAUGAAACCAGGACGCUAGUUCUGGUGGAGCCAUCCUUGAAAUACCACCCUGAAGUGCUUGACGUUCUAACCUAGGCCCGUAAUCCGGGUCAGGGACCGUGUAUGGUGGGUAGUUUGACUGGGGCGGUCUCCUCCCAAAGAGUAACGGAGGAGCACGAAGGUACGCUCAGCGCGGUCGGACAUCGCGCACUGUGUGCAAAGGCAUAAGCGUGCUUGACUGCGAGAUCGACGGAUCAAGCAGGUACGAAAGUAGGUCUUAGUGAUCCGGUGGUUCUGUAUGGAAGGGCCAUCGCUCAACGGAUAAAAGGUACUCCGGGGAUAACAGGCUGAUACCGCCCAAGAGUUCAUAUCGACGGCGGUGUUUGGCACCUCGAUGUCGGCUCAUCACAUCCUGGGGCUGUAGCCGGUCCCAAGGGUAUGGCUGUUCGCCAUUUAAAGUGGUACGCGAGCUGGGUUCAGAACGUCGUGAGACAGUUCGGUCCCUAUCUGUCGUGGGCGUUGGAGAUUUGAGGGGGGCUGCUCCUAGUACGAGAGGACCGGAGUGGACGUUCCGCUGGUGUUCGGGUUGUCAUGCCCAUGGCAUUGCCCGGUAGCUACGAACGGAAGUGAUAACCGCUGAAAGCAUCUAAGCGGGAAGCACGCCCCAAGAUGAGAUCUCCCGAGAGCUUGACUCUCCUAAAGGCACCAUCAAGACUAGGUGGUUGAUAGGUCAGGUGUGGAAGCGCAGCAAUGCGUUGGGCUAACUGAUACUAAUGAGCCGUGAGGCUUGAUC